ACCAGACUUGUUUAAAGUAGUUUGCUGGCUGACUGCACGUACAGUCCUGUCUCGUAUCUAGGAGUGAGCGUGUGUGCUUCUUUCUAUCUUUCUUUCUUUCCUUGUAAUAAUGGCUGACACCGAUCGUAUUGUGUGCCCUAAGGAGGUCGCAGAAACCGAAACGGACGCUAUUGCUCCAGUAGAAGCUAAAGACAAGAUCUCAGGCGGAGGCAGCAAUAUUAUAGAGGAACCAGUACUAAUGAAACCAGCGUUACACUCUUUUUCAAUGAUCCAAGUUCCUCCUAACUGUCCUAAAAACAAGCAGAUGUCAAAUGACGGUGUUUGUCGCGAAGUGAUCUAAGGCAGAAUUUGUACGUAAUUAUAUGAUAAGCACAUCAGUAAUUGUAGUACUACUGCGCAUCCUUGGGUGAUUCUUGUGAGUUAAAUGUAUUGUGUAAAAGAUGCCUUAGUCUUAAAGCAUUUAUUUAUAUUAAUAACUGACGAAUAUUGCAACCUUUAGUUCAGAUAACGUUGUCACAUAAUGUUAUAACAGUAUUAUUAAGUUGAUUGUAUUUUUUUAUUUAAUUGGAUGUGUACGCAAUUUGUCUGUAUGCAUUGUGUUUUAAUAAAAGAAAAUAAGUAGUAAUGACUUCUGUAAUAAAAUAAAAUAAGAUAAAAGAAAA